AGGGAAAAAUGAAGCAAUUUGACAAAAGUCACUCAAGAAGUCCACUAGGAUAAAUGAGAGCUGAACUGAGCAUUGUGAUAUCCUGUUACAUUUCUGAUAUCAAAAAAAAGAUGUCUGGAGAGUACUUCUUUCUACAAUCAUCCUGUUGAGAGAUUUCUCAACUCUGCUACUGUUGAAAAGAGGUGCCAGCAUUUUUGCUUCCAAGGUGAACUGGGAGGACAUCUUCCUUCCAAAUGC